UAUUAUUAUUAGAGUUUAUUUAAUUUUAAUAUACUGAUUUUGUAAAAAAAUUUAUAUGGCCAUCUAUUUAGAUUUUAAUAUUGUCCCCACAACCAAAAGAACGAGAUAAAAAACUGAACUGGGAAGUUAACUCUUGUGUCAUAAGGUAGGAUUCCCUCGUUGGCUUUUCAAAAAUAAUGUCAUUUCAUUGUCUUUUCCUUGGUAUUGUUUAACUUUAGUUGGGAUCGUUGCAGAGUUACAUUCACACACGCACAAGCAGUAGGGUAACUGAAUAUUUAUAGUUCACUAGAUAUCAGCUAUCAAGUGGUAAAGUUGACUUCCUUUUGUAUGAAUAGAAAUUUGAUGCAGUGUCACGCUAUAGUAUAGAAGGUGGUGGCUUAAGCUUUUUCAGUGACAUCGCACUUCUACUUAUUGAUGAAGUCCAUCUGUUGAAUGAUCCACGUGGAGCAGCAUUGGAAGCGAUUGUUAGUAGAAUAAAGAUCGUUUCUUGCAAUCCAAAAAUGAAACUAAAUCCUCUUGCUCAGGUGCGUUUGGUUGCUGUGUCAGCCACAAUACCAAAUAUUGAGGAUCUAGCUGAGUGGAUUAAGGUUCUUGAGGAAGGGAUUAAAAGAUUUGGGGAAGAAAUGAGGCCAGUAAAGCUGAAAACCAAAGUAUUUGGUAUGCAAAUAAUUAUUGAAGCUAUGUUAUAUUAGAUAUUUGUGUUAAGAAAGUUAACGAGUUAUCUCAGCACCAAAUGGUAGAGAUUGAUGAAGAUGGUUUCCUUUUGAGCCCAUUAGAUCCUAGGAGGCUAAUGACAGUAUUAUUUGAGAUUUGAUACUAUGAAACAGAUAAUGAGGACACCUGAAAACUGCUGUCUAGAAGAUGCACUUCAUGUUAUUUGCUCUGCAGAAGAAAUUGCUUGUGCGGAUAUUCUCAUUAACUGUUUUAGUGUCUAAUGCAAAUAUGUUUCUUCAUUAA